CCUACGGGAGGCAGCAGUGAGGAAUAUUGGUCAAUGGACGCAAGUCUGAACCAGCCAUGCCGCGUGCAGGAAGACGGCUCUAUGAGUUGUAAACUGCUUUUGUACGAGGGUAAACGCAGGUACGUGUAUCUGUCUGAAAGUAUCGUACGAAUAAGGAUCGGCUAACUCCGUGCCAGCAGCCGCGGUAAUACGGAGGAUUCAAGCGUUAUCCGGAUUUAUUGGGUUUAAAGGGUGCGUAGGCGGUCGGAUAAGUUAGAGGUGAAAUUCCGAGGCUCAACUUCGGAAUUGCAUCUGAUAAUGUGCGGCGAGAGAGUAGGUGCGGGAGGCGGAAUGUAUGGGGUAGCGGGGGAAUGCUUAGAG
rnacentral:rRNA from 1 species